rnacentral:snRNA from 1 species
GAAUGUCAGAACUAUUUGGUUGCAAACUAUGUCACCCCAUUGAACACCAGAGUUGAUUUGGCUGAUUUGGCUGGCUAGGCAGAUAUCCCCUUCCUCCUCCAUUGUUCCAUGAGUAUCUUUUUUAAGAUUGGCAUGCUCCAAUGAAGAGGACAAACUUCCCUGAUAGAGGAGGACCAUUCUUUGGUCAAGAGUAUAUGAGUAGCUACACUUUUCAGCUAGAGACUCCAAACAAACUCUCAAGAUGUUCCAGGAGCAUGUUACAAUGUCAUGAAUAAAAAAGUUCUCAAAAAACCACAAUGGUGGAGGU